GCGUACUAUUAGCUAGUUGGUGGGGUAAAGGCCUACCAAGGCGAUGAUGGUUAACCGGCCUGAGAGGGUGUUCGGUCACACUGGAACUGAGAUACGGUCCAGACUCCUACGGGAGGCAGCAGUGAGGAAUAUUGCGCAAUGGGCGAAAGCCUGACGCAGCGACGCCGCGUGGAGGAUGAAGGUCUUCGGAUUGUAAACUUCUGUUAAGUGGGAAGAAAGGGCUGUUUUUAAUAGAAGCAGUUAAUGACGGUACCAUUAAAGAAAGCACCGGCUAAACUCGUGCCAGCAGCCGCGGUAAUACGAGUGGUGCAAGCGUUAUUCGGAAUAAUUGGGCGUACAGGGUGUGUAGGCGGUAUGUUAAGUCUGUUGUUAAAGACUCCGGCCUAACCGGAGACAGGCAGCGGAAACUGGCGUACUAGAGGGUGGAAGAGAGAAGUGGAAUUCUCGGUGUAGCGGUAAAAUGCGUAGAUAUCGAGAGGAACACCGAUGGCGAAGGCAGCUUCUUGGUCCAUACCUGACGCUGAAACACGAAAGCGUGGGGAGCAAACAGGAUUAGAUACCCUGGUAGUCCACGCUGUAAACGAUGAUCACUAGACGUUGGUUCUGUUUUACAGAAUCAGUGUCGCAGCUAACGCG
rnacentral:rRNA from 1 species